CCUACGUGUGGCAGCAGUGAGGAAUAUUGGUCAAUGGACGAGAGUCUGAACCAGCCAAGUAGCGUGAAGGAUGACUGCCCUAUGGGUUGUAAACUUCUUUUAUAUGGGCAUAAAAUGUUCCUCGUGUGGGUUUUUGUAUGUACCAUAUGAAUAAUGAUCGGCUAACUCCGUGCCAGCAGCCUCGGUAAUACGGAGGAUCCGAUCGUUAUCCGGAUUUAUUGGGUUUAAAGGGAGCGUAGGUGGAUUGUUAAGUCAGUUGUGAAAGUUUGCGGCUCAACCGUAAAAUUGCAGUUGAAACUGGCAGUAUUGAGUACAGUAGAGGUAGGCGGAAUUCGUGGUGUAGCGGUGAAAUGCUUAGAU
rnacentral:rRNA from 1 species